GAUGAACGCUAGCGGCAGGCUUAAUACAUGCAAGUCGAGGGGCAGCAGGAGUGUAGCAAUACACUUGCUGGCGACCGGCAAACGGGUGCGGAACACGUACGCAACUUACCCUUAACUGGGGGAUAGCCCGGGGAAACCCGGAUUAAUACCCCGUAACAUAAUUGGAUGGCAUCAUUUAAUUAUUAUAGUCUUCGGAUGGUUAAGGAUGGGCGUGCGGCUGAUUAGGUAGUUGGUAUGGGAACGGCCUACCAAGCCUUCGAUCAGUAACUGGUGUGAGAGCACGACCAGUCACACGGGCACUGAGACACGGGCCCGACUCCUACGGGAGGCAGCAGUAAGGAAUAUUGGUCAAUGGACGCAAGUCUGAACCAGCCAUGCCGCGUGGAGGAUGAAGUAUUUCGGAUGUAAAACUUCGAAAGAAUGGGAANAAUCAAUGACGGUACCAUUUAUAAGGUCCGGCUAACUACGUGCCAGCCGCCGCGUAAU
rnacentral:rRNA from 1 species